CACACCUGGCUCAGCCCCAGGAACUAGUCUAAAACAAGACCUCUA
rnacentral:tRNA from 1 species